rnacentral:rRNA from 1 species
ACGCACGCUGGCGGCGUGCUUCACACAUGCCAGUCGCACGGAAAGGCCCUGCUUUUGUGGGGUGCUCGAGUGGCGAACGGGUGAGUAACACGUGAGUAACCUGCCCUUGACUUUGGGAUAACUUCAGGAAACUGGGGCUAAUACCGGAUAGGAGCUCCUGCUGCAUGGUGGGGGUUGGAAAGUUUCGGCGGUUGGGGAUGGACUCGCGGCUUAUCAGCUUGUUGGUGGGGUAGUGGCUUACCAAGGCUUUGACGGGUAGCCGGCCUGAGAGGGUGACCGGCCACAUUGGGACUGAGAUACGGCCCAGACUCCUACGGGAGGCAGCAGUGGGGAAUAUUGCACAAUGGGCGGAAGCCUGAUGCAGCAACGCCGCGUGCGGGAUGACGGCCUUCGGGUUGUAAACCGCUUUCGCCUGUGACGAAGCGUGAGUGACGGUAAUGGGGAAAGAAGCACCGGCUAACUACGU